CAAAGGCCUGGUCCUGGCUUUACUGUCUACUUCAACUAGAUUUACACAUGCAAGUAUCCGCACCCCCGUGAGAAUGCCCCAACAGUUUUAUACCCUAAAACAAGGAGCUGGUAUCAGGCACAAACUUAUGUUAGCCCACAACGCCUUGCUUAGCCACACCCUCAAGGGAAUUCAGCAGUGAUAAACCUUAAGCAAUGAGUGAAAACUCGACUUAGUUAAAGUUAAGAGGGCCGGUAAAACUCGUGCCAGCCACCGCGGUUAUACGAGCGACCCAAGUUGACAAACCCCGGCGUAAAGCGUGGUUAGGGAAACCCAAAAACUAAAGCCGAAUGCCUUCAAGGCAGUUAUACGCAAUCCGAAAAUACGAAGCCCCACCACGAAAGUGGCUUUACCACCCCUGACUCCACGAAAGCUAUGACACAAACUGGGAUUAGAUACCCCACUAUGCAUAACUGUAAACAAUGAUAGAAGAAUACACCCCCUAUCCGCCUGGGAACUACGCGCACCAGCCUGAAACCCAAAGGACUUGGCGGUUCUUUAGACCCCCCUAGAGGAGCCUGUUCUGUAACCGAUUAUCCCCGUUAAACCUCACCCUCCCUUGUUAUAUUCCGCCUAUAUACCGCCGUCGUCAGCUAACCCUGUGAAGGAUUAAUAGUAAGCUAAAUUGGCACAGCCCAGAACGUCAGGUCCAGGUGUAGCGUAUGGGAGGGGCAGAGAUGGGCUACAUUCGCUAACAUAGCGAACACGGACGACAAAUUGUACUGAAAAAAUACACGCGAAGGAGGAUUUAGCAGUAAGUAGAAAACAGAGUGUUCUACUGAAGCCGGCUCUAAAGUGCGCACACACCGCCCGUCACUCUCCCCAAGCAACCAAACACCCAAUUAAAUAAUAUCUUCCAACCGCAAAGGGGAGACAAGUCGUAACAUGGUAAGUGUACCGGAAGGUGCACUUGGAAAAAU
rnacentral:ncRNA from 1 species